AAUUAAUUAUAAAUAAUAAAUUAAUAAUAAUAAUUAUCUAAUUAUUAAUAUUUAAUUAUAAAUAAUAAAUUAUUUAAAUUAUUUAAUUAUUAAAGUAAUAAAUAAUGAUUUAAAUAUAUUAAUUAGAUUAAUUAAUAAUUUACUGCCAUUAAAAUUAAAUUUAGAUUUUAAUUAAUCUUGUUCUCAUCAAGGAACAAGCUUGUUCCAGGAAACGGGUGGAACAGCAGUUCCAGCCUUAUACCAGCUAGUUCCAGAUUCCCGGAAACUACUGUUUCCGGGAACCAAACAUUGCGUUUGGGAACAAAGGGGGGAACAAGGGCUUAUUCCCCCCCUUGUUCCCGAACCAAACACUACCUAAGAGUUAACAAGUAAGAAAGAAACCUGUCCAUCUGUUA
rnacentral:lncRNA from 1 species